rnacentral:rRNA from 1 species
AGAGUUUGAUCCUGGCUCAGGACGAACGCUGGCGGCGCGUUUUAAACAUGCAAGUCGAACGAGAAUCCCGGUGCUUGCAUUGGGAGGAGAGUGGCGAACGGGUGAGUAACACGUGGAUAAUCUACCUCUAGGAUUGGGAUAACUACUCGAAAGGGUGGCUAAUACCGGAUAAGAUGGUAGCUGCAUAAGCAGCAGCCAUUAAAGAUGGGGACCGCAAGGCCUAUCACCUGGAGAUGAGUCCGCGGCCCAUUAGCUUGUUGGCGGGGUAACGGCCCACCAAGGCUACGAUGGGUAGCCGGCCUGAGAGGGUGACCGGCCACAUUGGGACUGAGAUACGGCCCAGACUCCUACGGGAGGCAGCAGUUAAGAAUCUUGCGCAAUGGGGGAAACCCUGACGCAGCGACGCCGCGUGGACGAUGAAGGCCUUCGGGUUGUAAAGUCCAAUAAGCAGGGAAGAAUAAGCAGCGGGAAAUAUUCGCUGUGAUGACGGUACCUGCCUAAAGCCCCGGCUAACUACGUGCCAGCAGCCGCGGUAAUACGUAUGGGGCUAGCGUUGUUCGGAAUUAUUGGGCGUAAAGGGCGUCUAGGCGGGGGAUUAAGUUAGGUGUGAAAUCCCUGGGCUCAACCCAGGAACUGCAUCUAAAACUGGUUCUCUUGAGUUCGGGAGAGGAGAGCGGAAUUCCCGGUGUAGCGGUGAAAUGCGUAGAUAUCGGGAAGAACACCAGUGGCGAAGGCGGCUCUCUGGCCUAGAACUGACGCUGAAGCGCGAAAGCGUGGGGAGCGAACGGGAUUAGAUACCCCGGUAGUCCACGCUGUAAACGUUGUGUACUAGGUGUUAGUGACUUGUUCACUAGUGCCGACGCUAACGCAUUAAGUACACCGCCUGGGGAGUACGGCCGCAAGGCUUAAACUCAAAGGAAUUGACGG